GGGGCCGUAGCUCAGUUGGGAGAGCGGUACGUUCGCAACGUACAGGCCGUGGGUUCGAAUCCCAUCGGCUCCA
rnacentral:tRNA from 1 species